CGGAUGGCAGUUCGGAAGAACCGAUUGAUAGCUUUAGUGAUUCUGGUCAAAGUGUCUGGAGUGAGCUCAGUAAAGAAGUCACCUCAAAAAUUUCUAGAACUGUUGUCUCCCUUGCUUUGUCUGAUGGUGACUAUGCUGUCUUACUAUAAUUUUCUUAGUUUUAAAAUAUUUAUCUUAUUUAACAAUAUUAGUUACAGAUGAUUAAAAUUUAUAUCUUGUGUAGGACAUUCGGUGUUAUUUGCAUGCUCGGGCAUAGCCUUGCAAUGUGGGAUGCAAGCCACAAGGUUUCUGACUUCAGCAAGUUU
rnacentral:lncRNA from 1 species